ensembl:lncRNA
UAACCCUCUGAGAUGUCAGAAGAGUCAAGUUAAUGUUUGAAUGCACAGCUUUCACUUUUGCUUCACGCCAAAUACUUCUUCCCACCGCUGUCCUGCUGUAAAUCCAGCUGCUCUUCUGUCUGGAUUUAAAUGCCACUUCUGAACUAACUCUUCCUCUCCUGUGUGAUUAAAAACGGAAAGUCUGACCACAGCUCUGUCUGCUCCACCACACUGCAGCUCCAUGCCAUGCUGUGGAAGUGAGCAGGAGAGGCGGGUACUCUCACUCGCUGCUCGGGCACCUCUGCAGAUCAGAUUUCUUGCAGCCGUACGUGGCAAAAAAAAAAAAAAAAAAAAAAAAAAAGGCUCUGCGAGGCUGAAGGCUGCCGAAACACCCCAAACAACCAUCACAUGCUCACCUCCGGCCCCGAGAAUAAACCUCCGCUAGCACCGCCCGCCCCUCCGAGCCGUCAGCGGGCUGCACAUGUCACCUCCGAGCGCAUCACUCGCAACUCUUCGCACGCACCUUAAACUUUUUCUCGUGUGUCCGUGUGGACAGUUUGCGGUAACGACACACCAGAGGCCGGUCAACUCAGUCGGGACACCAGGGGCGGUUUCUGAAGCACUGAAAUCUGAUCUGGCCACAGGCUCCGCCGCGUUUCUGUCUCAGAAACUCACCGUUGAGCACACACUUUAACAGAAGAUGGUGCUAGCAAAAAAGAAAAAAAAAGCGGUGCCACUUCCAUUACUUUACUCGUUAGCUUAUCUUUCGACUAACUUACUUUUUCAUCCACACAGUCCGCUUGUCGGCCGCUUUUCACUUCACCGCUCCCAUGUCGAGGCCCCCCGCAGCGCUGCCGUGUCCCGGCGGUCUGAGUGUCUGCUCGGCUUCAUGAGCUCCGUAGGUCCCCCUCCGACUGGCCGCUCCACCGCAGCAGUAAAAUGUCAGCGGCGCUGGGACACACACUCGUCUGUUCCCAUCCCAUGCCUGGCUUCGGCUCGUUUUACCACCACGGAGCAAGCGAGCACUAACAGCUACAGCACUUCCUGUCGGUGAUUUUCAAACUACAAUGCUUCAGGAGGGGUUUGUUUCGAGCUGAGGCAAAUAAAUCAACUCACUAAAAUGGAGCAUUUUGUUGAUGUCGGACAGGUUCACAUGUACAGGCCUCGCUUACUUCCUGGUUUUGACGCAGCUUGUCGGAGCGCACUCUAGUGGAAGCGGCGUGAACAAACCCACAUGAAGAGAAAAGCUUAAAUACAGCGUUGUGUAACAAGGCGGCGGUUUGUUUCAUUUGGCCAAAGUUCACAUUUUGAUGAAGCUGAUUUUAAAAAAAAAAUGAACGGAAACCCAGGCCUUUCCUGUUGUUGUCAACGCAGGUUUCUGUUCCAG